rnacentral:rRNA from 1 species
CAAUAGCGUAUAUUAAAGUUGUUGCGGUUAAAAAGCUCGUAGUUGGAUUUCUGCUGAGAACGACCGGUCCGCCCUUUGGGUGUGUAUCUGGCUCUUUCUUGGCAUCUUCUUGGUGAACGUUGCUGCACUUGACUGUGUGGAGCGCUACCCAGGACUUUUACUUUGAGGAAAUUAGAGUGUUUCAAGCAGGCACACGCCUUGAAUACAUUAGCAUGGAAUAAUAAGAUAGGACCUCGGUUCUAUUUUGUUGGUUUCUAGAGCUGAGGUAAUGAUUAAUAGGGAUAGUUGGGGGCAUUCGUAUUUAACUGUCAGAGGUGAAAUUCUUGGAUUUGUUAAAGACGGACUACUGCGAAANCANNNGCCAAGGAUGUUUUCAUNGA